GACGAUCAGUAGGGGUUCUGAGAGGAAGGUCCCCCACAUUGGAACUGAGACACGGUCCAAACUCCUACGGGAGGCAGCAGUGAGGAAUAUUGGUCAAUGGGCGAGAGCCUGAACCAGCCAAGUAGCGUGCAGGACGACGGCCCUAUGGGUUGUAAACUGCUUUUGCGCGGGGAUAAAGUGCGCCACGUGUGGCUCAUUGCAGGUACCGCGCGAAUAAGGACCGGCUAAUUCCGUGCCAGCAGCCGCGGUAAUACGGAAGGUCCAGGCGUUAUCCGGAUUCAUUGGGUUUAAAGGGAGCGCAGGCCGCCCCUUAAGCGUGUUGUGAAAUGCCGCGGCUCAACCGUGGCACUGCAGCGCGAACUGGGGGGCUUGAGUGCGCGCAGCGCAGGCGGAACUCGUGGUGUAGCGGUGAAAUGCUUAGAUAUCACGAAGAACUCCGAUCGCGAAGGCAGCCUGCGGGAGCGCAACUGACGCUGAGGCUCGAAAGUGCGGGUAUCGAACAGGAUUAGAUACCCUGGUAGUCCGCACGGUAAACGAUGGAUGCCCGCCCUGCCGCCCUUUGGAGGCGGGGCCAAGCGAAAGCGUUAAGCAUCCCACCUGGGGAGUACGCCGGCAACGGUGAAACUCAAAGGAAUUGACGGGGGCCCGCACAAGCGGAGGAACAUGUGGUUUAAUUCG
rnacentral:rRNA from 1 species